GCUGCAAUUAAAGAACAAAAAAGGACUAUACCGCAAAAUUACGUAAUAUACCUAACAAUUCAAAGAUGUAAUCAUUUAUACAAGUCUUCCAGAGAUACACGUCACAGAAGAACCGCAAGACACCCUUACACUGGUAUUCCGAAAAUUUUCGUUCUCCUCCUUUCAUGCUCUAAUUCUUGUAUUUCAAUAUCGUCGGUGAUUAAUUGUACCCUGCAGGAUGUGAAUUCAAACUGUAGAACUGGAAUAACCAAUGAAAUAAGUUUCCAUAUACCAAAAGAUUCAUCCAUUAAAUGUAGAGGUAAAAGUACAGUAACUAUCACAAUGUAUAGUUUUGAAGUUUCCAAAGAAAAAAAUAUGUAAGAAAAGAAAUGAAAAACAAACGGUUUACCCUUUAUUAAGACCACCGGGUUAGUAAAGCAUAGAACUAUUAAUAGAUGCAAAAGUAUUGCAUUCUUAGAGGCUAUUAAAGCAUAAAACCAUUAAUAAGUCUUUAAAAGAUUAGAUAUCCGGCCAAUUUAAUAUCAAUGCAGCCCGACCAUUUUUUUCUUAUUACAGUUAAUAAUCACUCAAAAAUACGAAUGACACAGUAUUUUAUUCUAUAAUGAAAAAUAACAGGAACCCACAAAUAGUUACAUCCAAGUAAUAAUUUUGCUAUAGCAACGAGAAAAAUAUAGGCAAAUAAUUAAUGAUGAUUAGACGUCGCCUAUGGGGAUUAUGGCCAAAAGCAACAGAAGUCUCAGUUGAAACAGUUCAAAUUUUGGGAAAAUUGUACAUAUAAAUAAAGUUUUUCUCUGCACCACAAAAUGAAACCAUCCUAAAUAUAUUUACAUAAGAUGGAAAGUUAUACCCAAUUUAUAAGUCUGUAAAUGGAAAUACGCACAGUUUAUCUUCGCAGUUCGGUGGUCACCAUCAACUGCAAAAUGAGUCCUCAAGCCUCCAUCUUUUUCUACUGAAAUUUACAACAGCCCUAACUG
rnacentral:lncRNA from 1 species